rnacentral:misc_RNA from 1 species
GAUUGUCAUAGCUUCUAACAGUUCCAUAAGGCACAAAAGAAUAGCUGUUAACAAGCAAGGGUGGGUGGAAAACAAAUAAAGGAAAAAUCUUGGUGUUUUUGCUUCGAACCACAGUUCACAGAAAAGAACCAAAGAUCUUUCUGUUUUCCCAAUCCAAUCCAAUCCAAUCCUAUUUUAUCUGCAACUCCAAUACAUAAUCUUUGAAUUCUUGGUAAGC